rnacentral:rRNA from 1 species
AGGACGAACGCUUGCGGCGUGCCUAAGAAAUGCAAGUCGAGCGGAAGUAGCAAUACUUUAGCGGCGAACGGUCGCGUAACACGUAGCCAACCUGCCCAGAAGACCGGGACAACACUCCGAAAGGGGUGCUAAUACCGGAUGUGCCCAUUUUGCCACAUGGCUUAAUGACGUAAAUCAGUUUAUGGC